CACCGGCUAACUCCGUGCCAGCAGCCGCGGUAAUACGGAGGGUGCGAGCGUUAAUCGGAAUUACUGGGCGUAAAGCGCAUGCAGGUGGUUUGUUAAGUCAGAUGUGAAAGCCCGGGGCUCAACCUUGGAAUUGCAUUUGAAACUGGCAGACUAGAGUACUGUAGAGGGGGGUAGAAUUUCAGGUGUAGCGGUGAAAUGCGUAGAGAUCUGAAGGAAUACCGGUGGCGAAGGCGGCCCCCUGGACAGAUACUGACACUCAGAUGCGAAAGCGUGGGGAGCAAACAGGAUUAGAUACCCUGGUAGUCCACGCCGUAAACGAUGUCUACUUGGAGGUUGUGGCCUUGAGCCGUGGCUUUCGGAGCUAACGCGUUAAGUAGACCGCCUGGGGAGUACGGUCGCAAGAUUAAAACUCAAAUGAAUUGACGGGGGCCCGCACAAGCGGUGGAGCAUGUGGUUUAAUUCGAUGCAACGCGAAGAACCUUACCUACUCUUGACAUCCAGAGAACUUUCCAGAGAUGGAUUGGUGCCUUCGGGAACUUUGAGACAGGUGCUGCAUGGCUGUCGUCAGCUCGUGUUGUGAAAUGUUGGGUUAAGUCCCGCAACGAGCGCAACCCUUAUCCUUGUUUGCCAGCGAGUAAUGUCGGGAACUCCAGGGAGACUGCCGGUGAUAAACCGGAGGAAGGUGGGGACGACGUCAAGU
rnacentral:rRNA from 1 species